rnacentral:rRNA from 1 species
CCUACGGGAGGCAGCAGUGGGGAAUAUUGGACAAUGGGGGGAACCCUGAUCCAGCCAUGCCGCGUGUGUGAAGAAGGCCCUCGGGUUGUAAAGCACUUUCAGUGAGGAAGAACGCCUGGUGGUUAAUACCCAUCAGGAAAGACAUCACUCACAGAAGAAGCACCGGCUAACUCCGUGCCAGCAGCCGCGGUAAUACGGAGGGUGCGAGCGUUAAUCGGAAUUACUGGGCGUAAAGCGCGCGUAGGUGGCUUGAUAAGCCGGUUGUGAAAGCCCCGGGCUCAACCUGGGAACGGCAUCCGGAACUGUCAAGCUAGAGUGCAGGAGAGGAAGGUAGAAUUCCCGGUGUAGCGGUGAAAUGCGUAGAGAUCGGGAGGAAUACCAGUGGCGAAGGCGGUCUUCUGGACUGACACUGACACUGAGGUGCGAAAGCGUGGGUAGCAAACAGGAUUAGAUACCCCAGUAGUC